CGCCCCCCCUCGGCCUGAGCCACACCUCUGUUUUGUAGCCCUGGCCUCUGUAUUUCCAGUGGCCUUGGAUAAGCUGUCCAGUGAUAAACUCCUACAACAUCAAGUGCAGUCUACCCAGGCCUGGAGUCAAAGUCUCCCUGAUCUGGCUCCAGACUCCCAUUCCUCCCUCACCUGCAAUGGCUUCCCUUCUCUCCCAGAUACACUCAACCUGCACUUCAGAGCCCUGUGUACCGGGGUUCCUUUCUGCAUGUUCCUGCCUUCAUGCCGUUGCCUGUGCUGUUCCCUCCAAGUCGGGCCAGAUUCCCUGAGUGGGAUUCCAGCUCACUUGGGGUCUGAGAGUUCCCAUCAAAUUCAGCUUGGUCAUAAAGGGAAGUCCAUUUUCCCCUCUCCAGGGUACAUCAGGGUAGCAGGAACUGUGUUUUAUCCUCUGAGUCUCGAGGGCCUGAAUCUCAGGAAAGGCACAGUCUGUUGGUAUCAAAGCUCCUAGCUUUGUCAAUUUUGUGACAAUAGGGAAAUUCUUAACCUCUCCGAGCCCGUUUUCUCAUCUGUGAAAUGGGACUGUAGAGAGAAUUAAUUAAUGUAAGCCUCUUAACAUAAUGCCUGGCACAUAGUAGCUAAUAAGAAGAAGUGAUUAAUAUGAGUUGAAGCUGACUUUACUGAAUAAAGGGUGGAGUCACACCAGUGAUUGGCUGUGCAGGACUACAUACCAUUUCAGCCAAAACUAGGUUAUCAGGAAAAAUCCCACCCCAAUCUCCAGGUUGGUGGGAAAAAAGGGGCAGUGCUCAGGAGCCACGAGCCAAUCCUGUGGGCUCCCAAUGCGGCCCUGCUCUCACCUGAGACAUAGAUGUCAUUGCGGAGAGUACAGGCAGCGAACUCGGAGCGCAUGUAGCCAGGCAGGCUGGGCAGUGGGGUCCAGCGCUGGCUUUCUGGGUGGUAGGCGUCGGCGAAGGGCAACCUCAUAAGUCCCUUGCGGUCACAACCGCCAAUGACCACAAUCACUUCAGCCAGGUCCAUGAAUCUGGCGUGGGGAUAAGCUCAGUAUCCAUUGAUCCGCGCCCAAGUUUCAGCCUCUCACUCUCUCACUGACCACACUGUAGAGUCCUCCUGCCCUUCCUUGUCCUUCUGUCCCUCUCCUAAUCCCUGAGUUAGACUCUGUCACUUCCAGCCUUCCCUCUGGCUAUUGAUGGGACAAGGAUCACCAAUCCUCAUCCCAUUCCACUGACCUCUAAGUUACAGAAAAAUCAUCUUUACAAAGCCUUUAACCUUACUUAGAAAAAUCACCUAGUUUAUUCUUUAUGACAGCUCUAGUAGGCAGGGAUUAUUACUCCUCUUACAGAGGAGGAAACUGAGGCUAAAACGUAGGCUUGCCCAAAGUCAUGCAAGCCAGUAAGCAAAAGAGCUGGAAUUCAAGCCCAGGUCUGUCUGAUGCUAACCCAUUCUCCUUACCCUUUCUGGCCUCCACUCCCUAAUUCUGCUGCCUCCCUCCUAUAACAUCUCCUAAACCCAUACCUUAAUCACUGAACCAGGCUACAUACCCUUUCAGCAAAGCGUUUUCCCCUCCCACUGACCCCUCAGACUUCUGACCCCACCAGGAUUCCCAAACUCUUUAACCACUGGUUUCCUGCCUAAUUCCUAUGACAAAUAUGGAGCAUCUUUGUACCAGCCCUGUGCUUAGCGUUGGAAAUACAGUGGUAAGAGAGUGGACUUCCUUGUCUUCUAUUUUGGACUACUCCACCCGUCUCCUGGCCUAGUGUUCCAGGCUCUGCCUACUUAUAUCCCUCACUAGUCUGAGCUCCCAGAGCGUUUAGGGUGUUUUCAAAUCACUCUUGAGUCCCAGGGACCCAGCACAAGACUUGCACAAAGGGAACACUCAGAAUUAUAGACAGAUGGGCAAGAGAAAAAGUGCAUUAGGUGUGAGACCCCUGCACCUCCCCAUUGGCUGUUAACUCUACAAGGGCAGAAUGCCCCACACCAAGCCCAUGGGACGUCUGUUGAAUGAAUGAGUGAAUUUCAUGCAAGAGGCAUGACUGAAGGAUGAAUUAAAGAAUGACGGAGGAAUGAGUGAGUGGUUGAAUGUUGGGGGAGUGGGGGUGGUACCUCCGUGGCCGCGUGCGCAGCCCACCUGCCUCCCGGCCCAGGAUGAAGCAGGCCCGGGCCUCGAGGAGCAGCGGGCGGCACUCGCAGCAGGCCCGCAGCAGCUCGUCCGCCUCCACCUUCUCCAGGAAGUAGUCGGGCGCCAGCAGGGGCAGCCGCACGUGCUCCAGCAGGCGCCGCAGUUGCCCGCGUCGGGCCGGCGCGUCGUGACGCACCCAGCGCAUGGCCGCCUCGAACACGGCCUCCUCGCGCGCCACGCCCAGCGCCGGGUCCGCCAGCAGCGCGGCCACGUCCUCGGGCGCCAGCUUCAGAAAGUCGGCGUGGCGCACCGCUUCGGUGAAGCCCUGGCGCCGCCCGCGGCCGCAGCGCCCCGCCGGGCAGGGGGGCGGGAAGGCGGCGGCCACGUGGCGCAGCGCCCGGCUGUUGGCGCGGAGGCUGCCCUCGAGGAAGCGCGCGCAGGCCUCGCGCAGGCCCGCCACGCCCAGCCGCCCGGCGGCCGCCUCGUCCUCGUCCUCGGCGCGCAGCUGCCCGCCUGAACGGAACACGUCGCCGAGCGCCACGGCCAGCGCUGCUGCCUCCCUGGUGCGCCCGGCGCCCGGCAUCUCGGGCACCACGGCCUGACCGAGCUCUGGCUGCCCGGCUGCGAAGAAGCUGCAGAAGUGGGCGCUGCCCGUGCCAAGCGCAGCUCGGUGGCUCGGGAAGUCGUGGCCGCCAGCGCGCAGCACCGCGUCGGCGAGGGUGCCGCUCCCAGGGUAGGCGUUGAGGGUCUGCAGGACGCGCUGCGCGUGGCAAGACCCUGAGCAGGGCGCCUCAGCGCCGGGCUCUGACUCCUCCAGCGAGGGGCCCUCUAGCAUCCUGCUGGGUAGAGAACGACACAAAUAGCGUGGGAAAGUCCACCGGGCUGGGGCCAAAUCGAGGGCAGGAAGCCCCUCGUCACAGGUAGGCAUGAAAAUGCAUGCUGGGAGGACGCCGUGCGGACAGGAAGAUGACCGUCUGCAGGCCGAGGGGAGAGAGCUGGACCAGACCCUUCCCGCGCAGCCCUGCCGACACCUGGAUUUUGGACUCCAGAACUGCGAGGCAAUAAAUUUCUGUUGUCUGAGCCUCC